rnacentral:miRNA from 1 species
UCCGCUUCUCAAUGCUCCAUUUGCAA